AGAGUUGAUCUGGCUCAGAACGAACGCUGGCGGCAUGCUAACACAUGCAAGUCGAACGCUCUUGGGGCUUCGGUUUCAAGGGAGUGGCGCACGGGUGAGUAGCGCGUGGGAACCUGCCCUGUUGUGGGGGAUAACCGAGGGAAACUUCGGCUAAUACCGCAUACGCCGGUUGUCUUGAGAGAGAUGGCCGGGGAAAGAUUGAUCGCAGCAGGAGGGGCCCGCGUCGGGAUUAGGUAGUUGGUGGGGUAACGGCCUACCAAGCCUGUGAUCCGUAGCUGGUCUGAGAGGAUGAUCAGCCACACUGGGACUGAGACACGGCCCAGACUCCUACGGGAGGCAGCAGUGGGGAAUAUUGGACAAUGGGCGCAAGCCUGAUCCAGCAAUGCCGCGUGAGUGAUGAAGGCCUUCGGGUUGUAAAGCUCUUUCGCACGCGACGAUGAUGACGGUAGCGUGAGAAGA
rnacentral:rRNA from 1 species